rnacentral:rRNA from 2 species
GACGAACGCUGGCGGCGUGCCUAAUACAUGCAAGUAGAACGCUGAAGAGAGGAGCUUGCUCUUCUUGGAUGAGUUGCGAACGGGUGAGUAACGCGUAGGUAACCUGCCUUGUAGCGGGGGAUAACUAUUGGAAACGAUAGCUAAUACCGCAUAACAAUGGAUGACACAUGUCAUUUAUUUGAAAGGGGCAAUUGCUCCACUACAAGAUGGACCUGCGUUGUAUUAGCUAGUAGGUGAGGUAAUGGCUCACCUAGGCGACGAUACAUAGCCGACCUGAGAGGGUGAUCGGCCACACUGGGACUGAGACACGGCCCAGACUCCUACGGGAGGCAGCAGUAGGGAAUCUUCGGCAAUGGGGGCAACCCUGACCGAGCAACGCCGCGUGAGUGAAGAAGGUUUUCGGAUCGUAAAGCUCUGUUGUAAGUCAAGAACGGGUGUGAGAGUGGAAAGUUCACACUGUGACGGUAGCUUACCAGAAAGGGACGGCUAACUACGUGCCAGCAGCCGCGGUAAUACGUAGGUCCCGAGCGUUGUCCGGAUUUAUUGGGCGUAAAGCGAGCGCAGGCGGUUUGAUAAGUCUGAAGUUAAAGGCUGUGGCUCAACCAUAGUUCGCUUUGGAAACUGUCAAACUUGAGUGCAGAAGGGGAGAGUGGAAUUCCAUGUGUAGCGGUGAAAUGCGUAGAUAUAUGGAGGAACACCGGUGGCGAAAGCGGCUCUCUGGUCUGUAACUGACGCUGAGGCUCGAAAGCGUGGGGAGCGAACAGGAUUAGAUACCCUGGUAGUCCACGCCGUAAACGAUGAGUGCUAGGUGUUGGAUCCUUUCCGGGAUUCAGUGCCGCAGCUAACGCAUUAAGCACUCCGCCUGGGGAGUACGACCGCAAGGUUGAAACUCAAAGGAAUUGACGGGGGCCCGCACAAGCGGUGGAGCAUGUGGUUUAAUUCGAAGCAACGCGAAGAACCUUACCAGGUCUUGACAUCCCGAUGCUAUUUCUAGAGAUAGAAAGUUACUUCGGUACAUCGGUGACAGGUGGUGCAUGGUUGUCGUCAGCUCGUGUCGUGAGAUGUUGGGUUAAGUCCCGCAACGAGCGCAACCCCUAUUGUUAGUUGCCAUCAUUCAGUUGGGCACUCUAGCGAGACUGCCGGUAAUAAACCGGAGGAAGGUGGGGAUGACGUCAAAUCAUCAUGCCCCUUAUGACCUGGGCUACACACGUGCUACAAUGGUUGGUACAACGAGUUGCGAGUCGGUGACGGCGAGCUAAUCUCUUAAAGCCAAUCUCAGUUCGGAUUGUAGGCUGCAACUCGCCUACAUGAAGUCGGAAUCGCUAGUAAUCGCGGAUCAGCACGCCGCGGUGAAUACGUUCCCGGGCCUUGUACACACCGCCCGUCACACCACGAGAGUUUGUAACACCCGAAGUCGGUGAGGUAACCUUUUGGAGCCAGCCGCCUAAGGUGGGACAGAUGAUUGGGGUGAAGU